rnacentral:rRNA from 1 species
AUUGAACGCUGGCGGCAGGCCUAACACAUGCAAGUCGAAGCGGGGACGGGUGAGUAACACGUGGAUAACCUCCUAUAAGACUGGGAUAAAUUCGGGAAACCGGAGCUAAACCGGAUACUUAUAGAUGGAUGCGCGCUGCAUUUGCUAGUUGGUAAGGUAACGGCUUACCAAGGCAACGAUGCAUAGCCCACCUGAGAGGGUGUUUGGCCACCCUGGAACUGAGACCCUGUCCCGUCUCCUACGGGAGGCAGCCGGAGGGAAUCUUCCGCAAUUGGCGAAAGCCUUACCGAGCCACGCCGCGUGAGUUAUGGAGGGCUUCGGAUCGGAAAACUCUGUUAUUAGGGAAGCGGUACCUAAUCUAAAAGCCACGGCUAACUACGUGCCAGCCGCCGCGGUAAUUC